UAAUAUGUUUAUUUUGUUAAUUAGGAUUUGUGUGGAGAAGCAAAAGAAGACAACAAACAAAAGGGAAAUUAAAGAAGCAACAAGUAAACAAAAGAAAAAAAUAAAAUAAAAUAAAAAGAAAGAAAGAAAGAUCAUGUGAAAGGGGUACAGAAGCAAGUAAGCAACAUCAAACAAGUCAGGAAAAGGAAAGCUGAAAAGAUAGAAAUCUAUGUUGCUUCCGUGAUAACCGAGGCCUCCAAAGUAACUCCAUGUUUAUCUUCAACAACCUUUCCGAAAUUCAAGCAGAAUCAAGAAGAUGAAAAUCUAUCCUAAUUCAAGAUUCUAUCUUUUCAUACCCGGAAAGCCCUAAUUAGCUCUUUAAACACACACAAGUUUUACUAUGGAUCUUUCAUCGGGAAUUCGUGAGGCUUGGUGGAGUACGGUUGAUCCAAAGUUGAUAGACUGGGCGAUAACGGAAGGUGAAGGGAAAACUUGACGGCAACAAUCUAGCGGGGGCCGUUUGAUAGUGGCUUAAUGUAUGAACACGUACGAUCUAGAAGCAAGACUUCAGCGCAUUAAAGCACACGUAGGCUUCCUAAACAAGGCUGAACCACAGAAGCUGCUUCACAUUUUCAGUGUUGAACCAGCACUUGAAAUAGAAGAUCCAUUACCGAUUGAAUAUAAGAGCAUGGCAGAAUGAACAUUGAAGGAACUGGGAGCCCCGAGAAUAAGAGAAGACCCUCUUUGCAUUAUCUUUCCAGAGCUAGAGAAUCCUCUAAAGCUGAAUUCAAGUUUCCUUAAUCUUCUCCCUAAAUUAUAUGGGAACGCAGGUUGUUAUAUUCAUUCACUAGGCAUAUUACCUCUACCCUUUCUGGCAACACACAAAAUUCUUCUGUUUUCAAGACUCAAGACCCAGAGAAGGAACACGUUGCUACUGACUGUGAUUGUAAAAAAAUUCCUACAGCUUCACCAAUAAUUUAUAAUAUGAAGAUCCAAGAUGAUGAAGCGGCGUAGAAGCACAAUAACUAAAUGUAGACCUAACCAAUGCAACAAUGAGACAGAAAGCAUCUCACAUGUUCAAAUAACAGAACGUCUCAAGAAACCAGCUAAGUUUCUCCUCCUCUCCUAUUUAUUUAUUAAUUCUUCUUCUUCUUCUUCUUCUUCUUCUUCUUCUUCUUCUUUUUUCUUUUAUCGAGGACGAUUGAAAAGUUUAAGUGGGGGGGACAACUAUUUUUUUCUAUACUUUGGAUGUUGGGAUGUUAGGCUGGGUUACAAGUUUGAAAAUAGCAACAAAAUCUUGUUUGAUUAUGCCCAUUUUUAGGGGAGAUGCUGCCGAUUUUUUAUUUAGGUAUUGGAAAUUUUGAACUAAUAGAAGUAAAGUACACAAAAAAAAAAUUUUUGUUUUCUCCAAUCUUCUUCAUAACUUACACUCUGGGCUUGUGUCGUUUCUUCCUCAAAUUGCAACUAAUCCAUGUUUUGAAAAUGAUUUAGGCAAUUAAAAUAGUUUAUACGCCACAUCAACCAAAAAGCCUAUCCCUGUUAUUUUCCAUGAAUAAAUCACAAAUGUACCUCUACUUACAAGUCAAAUGAUUAACCUUCUGAAAUUAGUAGAGCAUAUUAAAGUGUGAUGUACAAAUGGUUGAUAUUCAAUGGUGAUAUAGUACUAUAAAGUGAAAGUUUCAAUAUAAGGCUCUGCGGACCAAUGACUGGGUAUAUGUGUUAAUUAAUUCACAUAUUGGUAUUAAAAAAAUAAAUAAAUAAAUAAAUAAAAUUCGAACCAAGUUAUGUACGUGUGAUGUUUCUAUCUCUUGCUUGAGUAGUUCGAGUAAGUAGAUCCUUAGGGGAAUCUUAAAGCCUAGUGCCUUGGACCAACUAGAUCGGGAGUCACUGGUUGAACACUCGCUACAUGGACUAUUCAACAGAGAUUGAAAAUUAAGAGUCAUGAAACUAAAAAUCAAAAAAUU